AAUUACGGAAACGGCCCGGAGACGAUUCCUCGCCGUGUCCGACCGUUUCCGGUGAGGAAACGUUUCCGGAACGGGGAAACGCUCCCGCCUCCUGUUUCCGUGCAUCUAGGUGAUAAAAAGCCACAAGUCUUUCCCUUACUGCUAGAUUGAUAUCCAGGACAUCAUCACAAAUAUUUUUCUUAUAAAUGUUCUUGCUACUUUACAGAACUUUCUUUACCUCCCUCUUUUUGUGCCCUCUCUUUGUGCAUGUGCAUAACUGCAUAUCAUGUCUGUAUGCAUAAUAUGGAUAAAUAGAAAAUUGGUAAUUUAACCAAAUUACUGAUGGUACAGGAUAGGCAUUGGAUUAGUUUCUAUCAUGUAUCAAAAAAUGUUGUUUUGCUUUAAUUAAUUCUAAACUGUCAAUGAAUAAUGGAAUUAGAAGCAGCAGCAGUUGUACAAAACUUUUAAUAGUGCUUGAAAACAAUCAGGUGAAGUCUUUUUCUUCGUAAGGUUGUUCCUUCACUAGAAUUGAUGACUUAUAUAAUGCUAAGCAUCACUUCUUGAUUGCACCUAGAUCUAUCUAUUCUAGAAAGCUACGUCUUUCAUGGAUGGGGAAAACAAAUACUCUCUCAAAGUGAUUUUGAUGAUGUUUUCCUCUUACUUCUAUUGGGUUUUUCUGGCAGCCUACAAUCACUGGGGAGAUU
rnacentral:misc_RNA from 1 species